rnacentral:lncRNA from 1 species
CCGAAAUGUUUGAGACGGCGAUUAAGGAGAGCACCUCCUCUAAGAGCCCUCCCAGAAAAAUAAAUUCAUCACCCAAUGUUAAUACUACUGCAUCAGGUGUUGAAGACCUUAACAUCAUUCAGGUGACAAUUCCAGAUGAUGAUAAUGAAAGACUCUCGAAAGUUGAAAAAGCUAGACAGCUAAGAGAACAAGUGAAUGACCUCUUUAGUCGGAAAUUUGGUAAGUUUUGCAUUUGCAAAGUACAGUUGCUAUAAGCAAAGAGAUUUGUUUUAAUAAGAUCUUUUCAGCAGAUGAUGGUUAGAUGGUUGUAAUCCUA